rnacentral:rRNA from 1 species
GACGAACGCUGGCGGCGUGCUUAACACAUGCAAGUCGAACGGAAAGGCCCUGCUUUUGUGGGGUGCUCGAGUGGCGAACGGGUGAGUAACACGUGAGUAACCUGCCCUUGACUUUGGGAUAACUUCAGGAAACUGGGGCUAAUACCGGAUAGGAGCUCCUGCUGCAUGGUGGGGGUUGGAAAGUUUCGGCGGUUGGGGAUGGACUCGCGGCUUAUCAGCUUGUUGGUGGGGUAGUGGCUUACCAAGGCUUUGACGGGUAGCCGGCCUGAGAGGGUGACCGGCCACGUUGGGACUGGGAUACGGCCCGGACUCCUACGGGAGGCAGCAGUGGGGAAUAUUGCACAAUGGGCGGAAGCCUGAUGCAGCAACGCCGCGUGCGGGAUGACGGCCUUCGGGUUGUAAACCGCUUUCGCCUGUGACGAAGCGUGAGUGACGGUAAUGGGUAAAGAAGCACCGGCUAACUACGUG